rnacentral:rRNA from 1 species
UACAGAGGUGGCAAGCGUUGUUCGGAUUCAUUGGGCGUAAAGGGUGUGUAGGUGGCGCGCUAAGUCGGGUGUGAAAUUUCGGAGCUUAACUCCGAAACUGCAUUCGAUACUGGCGUGCUUGAGGACUGGAGAGGAGACUGGAAUUCAUGGUGUAGCAGUGAAAUGCGUAGAGAUCAUGAGGAAGACCAGUGGCGAAGGCGGGUCUCUGGACAGUUCCUGACGCUGAGGCACGAAGGCCAGGGGAGCAAACGGG